rnacentral:rRNA from 1 species
AGUGAACGCUGGCGGUAGGCCUAACACAUGCAAGUCGAACGGCAGCACAGUAAGAGCUUGCUCUUACGGGUGGCGAGUGGCGGACGGGUGAGGAAUACAUCGGAAUCUACUUUUUCGUGGGGGAUAACGUAGGGAAACUUACGCUAAUACCGCAUACGACCUACGGGUGAAAGCAGGGGAUCUUCGGACCUUGCGCGAUUGAAUGAGCCGAUGUCGGAUUAGCUAGUUGGCGAGGUAAAGGCCCACCAAGGCGACGAUCCGUAGCUGGUCUGAGAGGAUGAUCAGCCACACUGGAACUGAGACACGGUCCAGACUCCUACGGGAGGCAGCAGUGGGGAAUAUUGGACAAUGGGCGCAAGCCUGAUCCAGCCAUACCGCGUGGGUGAAGAAGGCCUUCGGGUUGUAAAGCCCUUUUGUUGGGAAAGAAAAGCAGCAGGUUAAUACCCCGCUGCUCUGACGGUACCCAAAGAAUAAGCACCGGCUAACUUCGUG